rnacentral:rRNA from 1 species
GAGCGAAUGGAUUAAGAGCUUGCUCUUAUGAAGUUAGCGGCGGACGGGUGAGUAACACGUGGGUAACCUGCCCAUAAGACUGGGAUAACUCCGGGAAACCGGGGCUAAUACCGGAUAACAUUUUGAACCGCAUGGUUCGAAAUUGAAAGGCGGCUUCGGCUGUCACUUAUGGAUGGACCCGCGUCGCAUUAUUUAGUUGGUGAGGUAACGGCUCACCAAGGCAACGAUGCGUAGCCCACCUGAAAGGGUGAGGGGCCACACUGGGACUGAUACUUAGCCCAGACUCCUACGGGAGGCAGCAGUAGGGAAUCUUCCGCAAUGGACGAAAGUCUGACGGAGCAACGCCGCGUGAGUGAUGAAGGCUUUCGGGUCGUAGAACUCUGUUGUUAGGGAAGAACAAGUGCUAGUUGAAUAAGCUGGGACCUUGACGGUACCUAACCAGAAAGCCACGGCUAACUACGUGCCAGCAGCCGCGGUAAUACGUAUGUGGCAAGCGUUAUCCGGAAUUAUUGGGCGUAAAGCGCGCGCAGGUGGUUUCUUAAGUCUGAUGUGAAAGCCCACGGCUCAACCGUGGAGGGUCAUUGGAAACUGGGAGACUUGAGUGCAGAAGAGGAAAGUGGAAUUCCAUGUGUAGCGGUGAAAUGCGUAGAGAUAUGGAGGAACACCAGUGGCCGAAAGGCGACUUUCUGGUCUGUAACUGACACUGAGGCGCGAAAGCGU